CCUCCGGACCCUGCUUUUUAAAGGAAACAAUGUUACCGCCUGACUUCCCCCUCCAGGGGAGCAGAUGGACUCACCCACAUCCGGGUCUGGGAGCGCUGGGGUCUCGACGCGGAGAGCGGGCGGAAGGAAGCGGGCGCUCCUGCAGCGGAGUGGAAAAGAGCCCGCCAGGCGAUGCGAGACCUCCCCUUCCGCGCUCCCCAGUUGGUAUCGCCAGCCCUCGGACCGGAAGCAGCGGCAAUGGGUCACUCCACCCACUUGGAACCUGACGACGGUGGCCUGCGAGUGCCCUACUAGUAAAGAAUCCCUGCUUUAGUCGAAGAAAUAAGUUACAGCGAAGAUGAGUAAAACGUGACGUCUGUUAGGGAACGUGCGCGUCUAGAAAGACAACUGGGCAGUGUGACAAGCUCCCCACCUGUGUCAUGCACUGUGCCCAGGGAUGUCGGGGAUCAGUGGAGGAGUCCUAAAGGCGACGGCCUAGACCCUAAGACCUUUUUGUGUUGGCCGAAAACCAAAUAGGAAGAGAAAAGAUAACAUGUAUAAGGAGAGUUUGUUCGGAAGUUAGGAGUGACCAUAUUGAACGGUCAGGGCUUGGGACAGUGACCGAGGCUGGGCGUUGCCUGACUUGUGCUUCUUGCUGCUUUAUAUUCCUUUAAAUGUGGCACAUCCUAGCGCCUGAUCAUAGAAAUGAGAUGCUGACCCCAAAGACCUGCCAUCCCUGUUGUAUUUGGAAGGAAAAGCCGGCGUUAGUGAUGAAGAGGGGCUUUUAAGUGCGGAGGGUAGAAAGCAGGACACGUUGGGGGGGGUGGGGGGCUUGCAAAAUACUGAGGCCAGUUGUGGAAACAUUGAGAAUCAUUGGUACAACUUUUACAUGUAAGG
rnacentral:lncRNA from 1 species